AUUCUGGGGAACCUGAAAAGGCGUUGACGAACCAGAAUUUAUGAGGCAAACGUUGUCAUUUUGCCAUCGUUCUCCGAGUUGUCUUUGGGAAGCUGGCGUCCAAAUACAGUAGAAACAAUUUGGAGGCCUCAAAGAAAGGUGUAAGGAGUAUUCUUGUUUUGCUUCCUUUACUUGGUGUCAAGUAUUUGGAAUGAGACAGUUCAAUGAUGCUUUGCAUUACCUCUUCAUUGUGCUCAACUCAGCUCAGCUCGUCCUGGAUGAAUUGGACAAAGAAGAGACAAUUCAAGAAGGAAAAAUUACUUUUUCAUCAUCCUUGAGAGAGAAAGAGUGUGAAUCGCACUAUAGCUUACACCCUGUAGAUGGUGUAUAUAUCCGUUAUGCAGUUUAAAAAGCUGUGUUACUCGUUCAUGCUUCUCUAAAGGUUGGAAUAUUUGAAAAAAAAAGUGACAGUGUUAAAGAUGAUUGUCGGUAAAAAUGUGUUUUGAUGCUGAACAAUAGCAGUGCGCUAUUCUCUACUCGUAUUCAUUUCUCUUUAUAACCUUCAGUUUGACUACAAAGAAUGCCUGUGGCUUUCACUCAACUCUUAAACGGUUAACAGUGAGCCGCAGUACAGGCGCGUAUUGUCCUAUACGCAUAUACGCACGUGCAUACUUGAAGCGACCAGAGAAAUUUGAAAACAAUGUUGUG